rnacentral:tRNA from 1 species
GUUUUAAUAAUUUAAAUAAAAUAUUGAUCUUGUAAAUCAAAAAUGAGUAUAAUCUUAAAACU